UAUAAAAGUUCAAUGGUUUGAAAUUCAUAAUUUAAAGAUGACUAAGUAUGAUAUACGAGUUUAAAAGCACGUGCCUCUUUAAUCGAAUGUCUCUGUAGAAGUACUUAUUAAUAAGACUUAAGAACUAUUUGAGUGAAUUGGUACUUUCUCUUAGAUUGAUAACUUUUAAGAGAGGGUUUUUAAAAGUAAUUGAUACUUCUUAAUAGACAACAGGUAUCUCCUUGUCAGACUCUCAAAAAGGAUUACUUACAAUGACUUAGAACCAUGAGUCGGCACAACAACUCCAACCGGUAGCAUUUUAUGGUGUGGCUGAGAAUGAACAGUUUAUGGUGAAUUUGAUGAAGGUUGAAAUUGGUGAUGAAGGAAGUCAAGGUAUGGGCAAGAUGUUGGAUUUUCUAAGUGUGUGUUCAUGGCAAGGCUUGGAUUCUCACGGUAAUCGUUCACACAAGAUGAAAGGCAAGGGAAAUACACAAACAAGCAUACAAAGAUAACUCAAACAAUCAAGCAAGCAUAGAAGGCACAAACAAGCAAGCAUUCAUGGAGUGAUAAAUAAAGUUUGAGGCUAAACCGACCUGAGCCUCUCCGAUGGCUCUUCAACAGUGGUGCAAAUUCAAUACGGUAAACGAUUCUUUGUGUUCACUUGAUUCAAUUCCUCUUCAUCUCUUCUUUCAUUUUCUUUCUUGUUGUUCUUGAUUCUUUUGCCACUUUUUCAAUGCGUGAAUCAUGGAAAACUAUAAUAUGAAGUAUGGUGAAUGUUUAUGCUCAAGUUGAUUGAAACUUCAAUGAGAAGCUUCAACAACCAUGGAUUCGAGCUCUAGUGAGAGAAGGUUGGAAAAUGGAGAGUCAAAACAUGAGAGAAAGUGAAGAAUGGGUGAAAUCAAAAAGUGAAGAAGAAUCUCUUUAAUGGGUAAAUGAUUAAUGAUUAUAUAAAAUUAGGUGAGAGAUGAUUAGAGGUUAGGAAUUGGUUAGAAGUUAGUUGGGACCGUUUUGGGCACUUUGGGCAAUUUGACCAAAGUGGUUAGAAGUUAAUUAGUGGAAGUUUAAGGUAGUUAGGGUGGUUAAAGAAAGGAUGUAUGUGACUUUACAUGUAUGUGUAUAUGCUGAAUUUUUUAUGAAUGUUAAAGGAAAUUGAAUGAAUUUACAUGGCAUCACUUGAAUACAUGUUUGGGUAUUUACAUGGUAUGAAUGAAUGACUUAUGGAUGCAUUUAAAAUGAUGUUCAUGGAUGAAAUGAUGUAUUACAUGAAUGUUGUAUUUUUUUUAAUACACAUGAUUUAUGGUGUUUUACUUGUUGUAUAGAAAUGGAAUGGGGAUGAUGCAUAGUAUGGAAUUUGUAUUUAUGGUAUAUGUAUAACAUGCUGAAUUUUUAUAACUUAACAUUGAAUUUGACUUGUUUUUUAAUGAUUUUGCAUAUGAUGUGAAUGUAUGUGCAUGUGCUAAAUUUUAGAAGUGAAUGAUAUGAAUUUAAGAUGACUUCUCAUGUGUAUUUGUAAAUGCCCAUGAUGCUUAAUUUUGUUAUGUAAGUGCUGAAUUUUUAGAAGUGAAUGUAAUUUCUAACUUGUUUGUAUUGUUUUCUUUGCAACAUGGUACAUGGUAAUGGAGCAUGAACAAACAUGGUCAAGAAUGGAGUAUGAACAAGCAUGGUAAAGAAUGGAGUAUGAGUGAAGACUAUUGAAGAGCUUGAAAUUAUUUUUAUUCUUUUGUGUAUGGAAAUCAUGCAAUAUGCUUGUAAUGACAUAAAGUGAUAUAAAGUGAAAUCAUGUAAAUGUAAAGACAAUAUUUUCUGACUUUUAGACCUUAUGUAUAUGGAUUGAAAGACCUUGAAUAUAAAAGGGAAUUAUGGAUCAAAGUGUAUGUAUGGAAAUGAGUUCCAAUGAA